UGGUGGAGUGAUUUGUCUGGUUAAUUCCGUUAACGAACGAGACUUUAACCUGCUAAAUAGACACUCGAGCUUAGGCUCUUGCUGCGCUUCUUAGAGGGACUUUGCGUGUUUAACGCAAGGAAGUUUAAGGCAAUAACA
rnacentral:rRNA from 1 species